ACUUGGUGACGUCCUUUCCUGUCUGUAUUUUACCAUCUAGAUGUUAAUUUAUUAUCUAUUGAUCUUUAUUCAACAGGUAAAGUUAUGGUUUGCCGGCGCAAUGCUCUUUCGCAUUGCUAUAUUUGCACCAUGCCACAGCUUCUACCAACUGCUUGUUUUUUGCAUUUGCGUGCAUUCUUGUAACUAUUAAUUUUGAUUAACUAUUUGGGUUUAUAGAUCUUGUUCAAGGCUUAAAAUUCAUAAUAUGUUCAUAAUAAAAAGAUGGCGUUAUUAGAUAGUAAGAAAAACAGAAAAUCCACUAAAAUUAAGCUGAGCGAGUAUCUCGGAGGUCCAAGAAAGUUUCUCCAAACUGAUCGUUGGCAGCAAUGUCUAAUCUGCAAUACGAAAAAAUGUUUAUGAAAAAAAUCUGCGUUUGAAACGCAAGAAAUUUAUUUUAAUGUCGCUUACAAAGUUGCAAAAUGAUGGUUUAUUUCUAACACAGAGUUUAAAGAGCCUUGUAUGUUUGUGGUGCUAAAGAUGUAGAAUUAAGACUCAAUAGAAGUUGGUCAAUCUCUAAGAUAGCACGACGAAAAGUCUAAAUAACCAUCAAAGAGUUUUGGAAGGUUUGAAAAGUUUACGUCAUUUGGAAGGUUUGAGAAGUUUACGACAUUUGAGAAAAUAGAAUAGGAAGCGGUCUAUGACGUCAAUUAAAAUUUUAGCAUUCCAUAAAAAAAAAAAAUACAUAUUAUUAAAUAGGUCAGGUUCUAUGUCUUGGUUUCAUAUUUGAAUGUGAUUUUCCUACAAAUUAAUUAUAAGUUGCCAAUCAUGUGAAUAUGAAUUGAAUAAAUAAAUUUAAAAUAAUGUUUUUAAAA